UUUUAUUGGAGAGUUUGAUCCUGGCUCAGGACGAACGCUGGCGGCGUGCCUAAUACAUGCAAGUCGAGCGCGGGAAGCAGGCUGAUCCCUUCGGGGUGAAGACUGUGGAACGAGCGGCGGACGGGUGAGUAACACGUGGGCAACCUGCCUGUAAGUCGGGGAUAACUCCGGGAAACCGGAGCUAAUACCGGAUGACACUUCAGAC
rnacentral:rRNA from 1 species